AGCGAACGCUGGCGGCAGGCCUAACACAUGCAAGUCGAACGGGAGCACAGUAAGAGCUUGCUCUCACGGGCGUCGAGCGGCGGAAGGGUCACGAAUAUACGGGAUUCCACUUUGUCGUGGGGGAUAACGCAGGGAAACUUCCUCUAACACCGCAUACAACCUCCGUGUGUAAGCAGGGGAUCUUCUGACCUGUCGCGAGUGUAUGAGCCUACGUUGGAUUAGCUAGAUGGCGGGGUAAAGGCCUAGCAAGGCGACGAUCCGUAGCUGGUCUGAGAGGGUGAUCACCCACACUGGAAGUGAGGCACGGCCCCGACUCCUACGGGAGGCAGCAGUGGGGAAUAUUACACGAUGCGCGAGAGCCUGAUCCAGCCAUACCGCGUGGGUGAAGAAGGCGUUCGGGUUGUAAAGCCCUUUUGUUGGGAAAGAAAAGCAGCAGGUUAACACCCCGCUGUUCUGACGGUACCCAAAGAAUAAGCACCGGCUAACUUCGUG
rnacentral:rRNA from 1 species